GCAUCGGUGGUGCAGAGGAUAGAGCACGCUCUCCGGGGUAGGGUGAAAUGCAGGUUCGAGUCCCGCCCGACGCA